rnacentral:rRNA from 1 species
GUGUCAGCCGCCGCGGUAAGACGGAGGAUGCAAGCGUUAUCCGGAAUUAUUGGGCGUAAAGCGUCCGUAGGCGGUUUAUCAAGUCUGCUGUCAAAGGCUGCAGCUCAACUGUGGAUCGGCAGUGGAAACUGAUGAACUGGAGUACGGUAGGGGUAGAGGGAAUUCCCAGUGUAGCGGUGAAAUGCGUAGAUAUUGGGAAGAACACCAGUGGCGAAGGCGCUCUACUGGGCCGUAACUGACGCUGAGGGACGAAAGCUAGGGGAGCGAAAGGGAUUAGAUACCCCUGUAGUCCUAGCUGUAAACGAUGGAUACUAGGUGUUGGACGUAUCGACCCGUUCAGUACCGCAGCCAACGCGAUAAGUAUCCCGCCUGGGGAGUACGCACGCAAGUGUGAAACUUAAAUGAAUUGGCGGGG